GACGGAGGGUGCAAGCGUUGUUCGGAAUUACUGGGCGUAAAGGGCGCGUAGGCGGUCUGUUAAGUUCGGUGUGAAGGCCCCCGGCUCACCUGGGGAACUGCGCCGGAAACCGACAGACUCGAGUACCGGAGAGGAGGGUGGAAUUCCUGGUGUAGCGGUGAAAUGCGUAGAUAUCAGGAGGAACACCGGUGGCGAAGGCGGCCCUCUGGACGGAUACUGACGCUGAGGCGCGAAAGCGUGGGGAUCAAACAGG
rnacentral:rRNA from 1 species